rnacentral:rRNA from 1 species
UACGUAGGGGGCAAGCGUUGUCCGGAUUUAUUGGGCGUAAAGAGCGUGUAGGCGGCCAUACAGGUCCGUUGUGAAAACUGGAGCUUAACCUCCAGACGCCGAUGGAAACCGUAUGGCUAGAGUCCGGAAGAGGAGAGUGGAAUUCCUGGUGUGAGCGGUGAAAUGCGCAGAUAUCAGGAAGAACACCUGUGGCGAAGGCGGCUACCUGGCCCAAUACUGACGCUGAGGAGCGAAAGCCAGGGGAGCAAACGGG